GGCCUCCUUAUUGGCAUGAACUGUGGAAG
rnacentral:piRNA from 1 species